AGACUUGGAGGAAUCCUAAUAAACUGAGUGGAUGAUCUUCCUGAAGUUUUAGGAAGAACUCGAGUCAUAAUUUGACACUGAAUCAGGGAGAAAACAAGUGUUUGGAUUUUUCUGCUACAGAG
ensembl:misc_RNA